AUAAGGGAAUAAAGAUGGAGUACAUCAAAAAAAAUUAUUCAAAACAUAAACUAAAGAGAAAGACAGUCGAGCUUGAGCUCUAAAAGCUUCUAGGAGCUGUUUUCAUCUCCGUCACUCACCGUUGCUUCAUCAUCAUCAUCAUCAUCAUCGUCACCGUCAUCAUCGAUUUCCGGCACCUCGUCUACAUCUUCGAUUAUGGUAGUCUGAGACUCCAGAAAAUUUCCAAUGCAACU
rnacentral:lncRNA from 1 species